rnacentral:rRNA from 1 species
GCAAGGGUAAGACCCCAGAAAGACUAUCUGGUUGAUAGGUCGAAGGUGUAAGUGCAGCCAUGUAUUUAGCUUAUCGAUACUAAUAGGUCGAGGACUUGACCAAUAUUUAUU